GUUUGAUCAUGGCUCAGAACGAACGCUGGCGGCGUGCCUAACACAUGCAAGUCGAGCGGUCCAUGGGUUUCGGCCCAUGGGUAGCGGCAGACGGGUGAGUAACACGUGGGUAACCUGUCCUUGGGUGGGGGAUAACUACUCGAAAGGGUGGCUAAUACCGCAUAAGACCACGGCCUUGCGGGGCUGCGGUCAAAGGUGCAAAUCGCCUGAGGAGGGGCCCGCGGCCGAUUAGCUAGUUGGUGGGGUAAUGGCUCACCAAGGCGACGAUCGGUAGCUGGUCUGAGAGGAUGAUCAGCCACACUGGUACUGAGACACGGACCAGACUCCUACGGGAGGCAGCAGUGGGGAAUAUUGCGCAAUGGGCGAAAGCCUGACGCAGCAACGCCGCGUGGGUGAUGAAGGCCUUCGGGUCGUAAAGCCCUGUCAGAUGGGACGAACCACCCCGCAAGGGGCCUGACGGUACCAUCGAAGGAAGCACCGGCUAACUCCGUGCCAGCAGCCGCGGUAAUACGGAGGGUGCAAGCGUUGUUCGGAAUCACUGGGCGUAAAGGGCGCGUAGGCGGCUUCAAUAGUCCGAUGUGAAAGCCCGGGGCUCAACCCCGGAAGUGCAUUGGAAACUGUGAGGCUUGAGUUCGGGAGAGGAAGGCAGAAUUCCCGGUGUAGGGUUGAAAUCCGUAGAUAUCGGGAGGAAAACCGGUGGCGAAGGCGGCCUUCUGGAACGAAACUGACGCUGAGGCGCGAAAGCGUGGGGAGCAAACAGGAUUAGAGACCCUGGUAGUCCACGCUGUAAACGAUGGAUGCUGGGUGUGGGUGACAAUACGGUCAUCCGUGCCGAAGCUAACGCAUUAAGCAUCCCGCCUGGGGAGUACGGUCGCAAGACU
rnacentral:rRNA from 1 species